rnacentral:rRNA from 1 species
CCUACGGGUGGCAGCAGUGAGGAAUAUUGGUCAAUGGACGCAAGUCUGAACCAGCCAUGCCGCGUGCAGGAAGACGGCUCUAUGAGUUGUAAACUGCUUUUGUACGAGGGUAAACGCAGAUACGCGUAUCUGUCUGAAAGUAUCGUACGAAUAAGGAUCGGCUAACUCCGUGCCAGCAGCCGCGGUAAUACGGAGGAUUCAAGCGUUAUCCGGAUUUAUUGGGUUUAAAGGGUGCGUAGGCGGUCGGAUAUGUUAGAGGUGAAAUCCCGAGGCUCAACUUCGGAAUUGCCUCUGAAACUGUUGGGCUAGAGAGUAGUUGAGGUAGGCGGAAUGUAUGGUGUAGCGGUGAAAUGCUUAGAGAUCGUACAGAACACCGAGUGCGAAGGCAGCUUACCAAGCUAAUUCUGACGUUGAGGCACGAAAGCGUGGGGAGCGAACAGGAUUAGAUACCCCAGUAGUC